CUCUGUAGGCUGACCAUGGCAUGUGGAGAUUCCCAGGCCUACACCAGAGCCACAGUAACGCGGGAUCCGAGCUGCAUCUUUGACCUACUCCACAGCUCAUGGCAACGCUGGAUCCUUAACCCACUGAGCGAGGCCAGGGAUCAAACCAGCAACCUCAUGGUUCCUAGAGGGAUUCGUUAACCAUUGAGCCAUGACAGGAACUCUGCUUUCUAAGAUUUGAUCUACCAGUGCUAAGAAUGAGAAAUUGAUUAAUGUUUUAGUAAUAUUUAUUAAUACUUUAAUAAUCUUAGCCCUGUUAGCAGUCCCCCAUGAUUGUUUAAUCAUGGAUUAUAUUUCAUAUUUUUUUUCACAUAAGUUAUUGAUCAGCCUAAUCUUAAUGUAAUUGAUUUUCAAAACCUAAAUGUAGGCUACUCAUGAUCAUUAAGCUUUAAGUUACUGGUUUUGAUCCAGUGUUCCACCUCACUAGAACACUGGAGAUUCUUUUAAAUUGCUCUUGUUGUGAUUUGUAAUGUUAGCUGUUCUUCUGUUUUUCCUUUCAUAGCCUCCCCUUUAAGAAUUGUAGACAUUCAAAGAAGGUACAGAAAGAGAGAGGUUGUCAUCACCUCAGAAUGGCUGUGGGCUUGUAGAUUUACCAAAGCCCAUGAUCUGGUGUCUUAUCUUGGGGACUUAGAAAUGUAAUCUAAGGAAUAUUGGCACUAGCCAAGUCUCUAUAAACUCAAAUAUUAAUGUAUUAAGAAUUAUGACUUCCAAGUAGACUGUGCCUUUUUGUUUUAAAAUAGAGGUUUUAUUAUUAUUCAGGUAUGGUGAGGCCAACAGAUCAAGAGGCAAUUACACUGCUACUCAGAGUUCCCAAAGGAGGCAGGCAUAUCACAUCACACAGGGCCACAGGGGGAUGCAGCAGGCACUGUCGGGAAGCAGAGGGAGUAAGGGGAAAACGUGGACAAGAGCCCUUAUUAUGGUUUCUGUAAGAGGAAAUGCGCAUAGCAUGGUAGGCAGGUUUAUGAUUGGCUAGUUUGAAUAAUUUCAGCAGGCUCUGGGAUGUAGGAGCUGUCUGUCAUCUUGUACCUGAUGCUGGGGUAAUUUGAGCAAGGGGCUGUGGCCCUGAGUGAGACAGUCUCAUAGAAGAGGUGGUUAGUCUGAGCUCUGGAUUGGUUGGUUUUCAUAUGAAAGAUACACUCCCAGGGCACAAAUUAGCUAAUUUCCAUCUCUAGGAAUUAGCUAAUCCUGGGAGGGCAUCCCUCUAGGUAAGGUCCCAAGAUAUCAAAGCCUCAGAAAAUUUAAAAACUAAAAUAAGAAAACAUGAUUAAUGCAAGUGUUAGCACCUUGACAAGUCCAAUCUUUUCUUAAGCUAUAUGAGAAUCAAAUUAUUAGAAGACUACAUAGUAAGCAUUUAAUCAGAAUAAGGGUAGUUAGUUUUAUCAUUUGAAAAUUUUUUUAAUUAUUUUUAUUUAUUUAUUUAUUUAUUGGUCUUUUCUAGGGCCACACUCACAGCAUAUGGAAUUUCCCAGGCUAGGGGUCUAAUUGGAGCUGUUGCUGCCGGUCUACACCACAGCCACAGCAACGCAGGAUCCGAGCCGCAUCCGUGACCUACACCACAGCUCACAGCAACGCUGGAUCCUUAACCCACUGAGCGAGGCCAGGGAUCAAACCCGCAAUCUCAUGGUUCCUAGUCAGAUUCGUUAACCACUGAGCCACUACGGGAGCUCCUCAUUUGAAUUUUUUUUUUUUUUUUUUUUUGUCUUUUUGCUAUUUCUUGGGCCGCUCCUGCGGCAUAUGGAGGUUCCCAGGCUAGGGGUCCAAUCGGAGCUGCAGCCACCGGCCUACGCCAGAGCCACAGCAACGCAGGAUCCGAGCCGCGUCUGUGACCUACACCACAGCUCACGGCAACGCCAGAUCGUUAACCCACUGAGCAAGGGCAGGGAUCGAACCCGCAACCUCAUGGUUCCUAGUUGGAUUCGCUAACCACUGCGCCACCACGGGAACUCCUCAUUUUGAAAUUUUUAAAAGGAUGCCUGAUGAGUGCGUGUCCACCAAGGAAUAUGCCAGGCAGGUGUUCAGCACUUUCCCUGGGCACUGACUGGGUGGGCACAAUCAAUACUUGGCUCCACAACUGGGGUUGUCCUAUGUUCUCCACAAAAUUACUUUUGCCAUAAUCAGUAUCAGCAGUCUCUUUGGAAAUCUUAGCCACAAGUAACUAAGAAUGGUAGCUGUAAAACUAAUGAAUGAGGUGUCGUAUCUUUUAAGUUAAAGUCAAAUCAUACUUUUACAUUAAAUAUAUGUAGGUAUACACACACACACACACACACACGCACGCAUGCACGCAUAUCCUGUUGCAAAUAUGUGACCUACCAUUGGGAACUUGUGAUAUAUUCCACUUAAUGGAUCAAGUCCCAUAGGACAGCUUUACAACUAGGCUCAAAAACCUCAGCCCUUAAAAUGUUCCUAUGAUUGACAGAAGACUAGAAACUCUUCCAAAUAUGGCCAAGAAAGUUUUAACCCUAAUAAAUAUUCUUCUUAUGUUGGGAUGAGAAUAGCAACAAAAGUUUUUUUUUUCCUCAUUUUCUGUUUACUCAAAGUAACACGUGGGGAGUUUCUGUCGUGGCUCAGCAGCUAACGAAUCUGACUAGCAUUCAUGUAGACGCAGGGUUUGAUCCCUGGCCUGGCUCAGUGGGUUAAGGAUCGAUUGUUGCCAUGAGCUGUGGUAUAGGUCGCAGAUGUGGCUCAGAUCCUACGUGGCUGUGGCUGUGGUGUAGGCUGGCAGCUACAGCUCUGAUUCGACCCCUGGCCUGGGAACCU
rnacentral:lncRNA from 1 species